CGUACAUAAUAUAAUGUGUCAUUAUGUAAUAAUUCUACAACAAUUUAGUAAAAUAAUAUAACAUUAGAGAUGUUCUUAACAUAAUAAAAAGACAAUAGAAAAGAGUCAUUAUUGGAGGGAAAACGAUUAGCUAUAAUUAGUAGCUCAUUAUGUUGUCUAUACUCACAACUAGGGACAUACAACAUUUAAUCUAAUUCAAUCAAAUUGAACCGAUCUAAUAUAAUCUAAUUAUAAAAAAUUAAAUAACUAAUUACAAUUGAAUUGGAUUGAAUGUUAAAAGUUAAAUUCUAAUUGAAUUUGAUAGGUUAUGAGAUGCCAAUCUCAAUACCAAGGUGCACCUCCCUCAAAUCUCAACACAGGGACUUCAAGCUGACAUCGAUAUUAAUCGAGCAGAAUUGAUGGAAAAGGGAGUCAUCCACGAGGCUGGAAUUGAUAGAAAAGGGAGAGGGAGCUGUGACAGCUGCGAGUGAAGGAGAUAAAGUGAGAGAAGGAUAUGCAGAAAGGGAUUUUUUUCUAGGUUAGGAUUGAUUUUGAUUUAUGUUAGGAAUUUUGAAUCAAUUUUUUAAAUAUAAAUACAGCAAUUUUGUUAGGAUGGAAAAAAUAAAAAAAAAAAAAGCCAAGAUGUUUAUGUCUGGGUCAGAUUUGUUUUUUCAUUCUUCAAAAGAAAGGUUUGGUUCAGGAAUUAAAGAAUACAAUAUGAUAAUUCUGUGUAUGAAUACUGAAAUACACUGGUACAAUUCAAUACAGUACUUUCUGUAAGCAAAAUCUCCAUAAUAUGUUAAGAAUUUAUACUGGAAUAUUAUGCGAACAUCAGUAGAACAGCUUCCACAUUGGGAUGUAUGGAUUAGGGAAAAUGUGAGACAAUGAAUCUACUUCUUAAAACAGUGAAAAUUCAGAUAAAUAAAAAAACCCACUAUAUUUCGACAUCAACGCAGAUGAAUAUAAGCGAUUCUGGUGUAACACUCAAAGAGAUGGUUAGUGAUAUGGAAUAAAGAAGUGAAAAUCAACAAAUCUUGCAUUGUGAUCACUAAUUAUGAUUUGGCAGCAAUAGCUCCCAAUAGAGAAUAACAAAACAUCAAGCUCCAUCCAGUCACUUUGAAUUCAUGGAUUAUUAAUGCUGUCAUAAUAGCUCAACCGAUU